rnacentral:piRNA from 1 species
UUAUUGUAAAACUAACUUAUC